GAGGGCAAGUGACACAGCAGCUGCAGAUCUGUCCAUAGUGGCCGGGGGGAUACAUGCCAGCACUUUGACGAUCUUAUCUGUAUUCCCACAGCAUUCGACAGCUUCUUUGGUGACCAGCUGCAUUGCCUGGCAGUGGGCUCCAGUGCUCACAACUGCACACAGCAAGGAGCAUUCUGAACAGUGAUGUUCCAGUUUUAAAGGACAGAGCUGCAAACAAAGGAGAACAGCAUGGUGGGAAAAACUGAAUUAGGAAUGCCAAGAGCUGAGUUGUAGCCCCUGCUCAUUCAUUCAUUCAUUCAUUCAUUUCCCUGCCUUAGGACCUAG